GACGAACGCUGGCGGCGUGCUUAACACAUGCAAGUCGAACGAUGAAGCCGGAGCUUGCUCUGGUGAAUUAGUGGCGAACGGGUGAGUAACACGUGAGUAAUCUGCCCUUGACUCUGGGAUAACUGCUAGAAAUGGUAGCUAAUACCGGGUACGACCCUCGGAGGCAUCUUCAGGGGGUGGAAAGAAUUUCGGUCAAGGAUGGACUCGCGGCCUAUCAGCUAGUUGGUGAGGUAAUGGCUCACCAAGGCGACGACGGGUAGCCGGCCUGAGAGGGUGACCGGCCACACUGGGACUGAGACACGGCCCAGACUCCUACGGGAGGCAGCAGUGGGGAAUAUUGCACAAUGGGCGCAAGCCUGAUGCAGCAACGCCGCGUGAGGGAUGACGGCCUUCGGGUUGUAAACCUCUUUUAGUAGGGAAGAAGCGAAAGUGACGGUACCUGCAGAAAAAGCACCGGCUAACUACGUGCCAGCAGCCGCCGCCG
rnacentral:rRNA from 1 species